rnacentral:rRNA from 1 species
AUGAUACGCGAGGAACCUUACCUGGGCGUCGAACGUAAGAUGACUGUAGGUGAAAGCUUACAUCUCUUCGGAGCAUUUUACGAGGUGCUGCAUGGUUGUCGUCAGCUCGUGCCGUGAGGUGUCGGGUUAAGUCCCAUAACGAGCGCAACCCCUACCUUUAGUUGCCAUCAGGUUAAGCUGGGGACUCUAAAGGAACUGCCUACGCAAGUAGUGAGGAAGCGGGGAUGACGUCAAAUCAGCACGGCCCUUACGUCCAGGGCUACACACGUGCUACAAUGGCCGAUACAGAGGGCAGCUACCUGGUGACAGGAUGCAAAUCUCCAAAGUCGGUCUCAGUUCGGAUCGGAGUCUGCAACCCGACUCCGUGAAGUUGGAUUCGCUAGUAAUCGCGCAUCAGCCAUGGCGCGGUGAAUACGUUCCCGGGCCUU